rnacentral:tRNA from 1 species
GCGUUGAUUUUGCUGGGGCGAGGAUCGGAUUUCGAUUCCGAGGGUCGGGAGUUCGAAUCUCUCCGAGCGCGCCA